UUGAAAACAUAUCGUCCCCUAAGGACAGUCGCGAUCACUCUUCCAAACAGGUUCCUUCCUUGAUACGGUGUCAGCUGUAAAGUGAAUGUCAUCUGCCUCAACCUGCGAAAAUACGAUACAAUUUUCUGAUGAUGUGGAGUGCUCGCUACUUUUCGACGUUAAUACAACGUACAGCAGAAACUGACCCAUCGAGUUCCAUGAGAUCGGGACGAGUACGCAAGAAAGUGUCGUACAACUCUGGAUUGUCUGAAAGCACGCGAUACGA